GCUGGUGUGGUGUAGUGUUUUGAGAGCUGGACUAUGACUCUGGAGGCUAGGGUUCAAAUCCCCACUCAGACA
rnacentral:tRNA from 1 species